GUCUACAGCUAUGCCACACUGAAUGUGCCUGAUCUUGUCUGAUCUCAGAAACUAAGCAGGGGUGGGCCUGGUUAGUACUUGGAUGGGAGACCACUUUGAAAUACCAGGUGCUGGAGGCA
rnacentral:rRNA from 1 species